rnacentral:rRNA from 1 species
UACGUAGGGUGCAAGCGUUGUCCGGAAUUAUUGGGCGUAAAGAGCUCGUAGGCAGUCUGUCGCGUCUGCUGUGAAAACUCAGGGCUUAACCCUGAGCUUGCAGUGGGUACGGGCAGACUAGAGUGCGGUAGGGGAGACUGGAAUUCCUGGUGUAGCGGUGAAAUGCGCAGAUAUCAGGAGGAACACCGGUGGCGAAGGCGGGUCUCUGGGCCGUAACUGACGCUGAGGAGCGAAAGCAUGGGGAGCGAACAGG